GUUGUGGUAUUUGUACCUGGGGACUGUUUAUAACAACGGACCCACAGCGGAAGUUGGUCGCAUUCGCCGCGUUUUGUUGGUGUACAUGUGAAGAGAGCAGUUCUUUGGAACUUAACUUAUGUUUAAAAAAUAAAGCACCACUGUAGCCGAUUGUAAUGGCAACAAUGGAGAAAGAAACCCCCGCUAAAAAGGCUGCAGCCCCUUCCGUGUCUCAGAUUAAUGCAGAAUAUGUCACACAGUUGGCCAACAAAUACUGGGCUCCUCAUGUACCGAAUAAACUAGCUUUUGACCCAAAGGUGAUGGAAGACAUAUAUGAUAAAGAGAUUCUGAAGUCAAAAUUUUCUAUCAGAAAAAUCAUGCUGCUGGAGUUUAGUCAGUACCUUGAAAACUAUCUGUGGGUCAACUACACUCCUAAGGAUUCUAGUAAUGCCUACAUCAUGUCCAUAUGUUGUAUAAUCAAUGAGAAGUUCAGAGAGAAUGUUCCAGCCUGGGAGGUGUUCAAAAAGGAGCCCAAACACUUCCCUUUCUUUUUUAAACGUGUGAUGGAAGCUGUUCUGGCAGGUGACAAAGCCGGCCUCACUCUGAAGGAACAAACGGUGCUGCUGGUCUUUCUGGAUCACUGCUUUAACAGUCCGGAGGUCGACUUGAUUAGAGAACAGGUGCAGCAGCUCAUCUCUCUGCCCAUGUGGAUGUGCAUUUUACCAUCCCGACUCCAACAGGAGUUGAAGAAAACCCCAAAGCUGCAGAAGGUCUGGAAUCUAAUAAAGAAGCAAUUUGAUAAGAUGGAUGCUGACGCAGCUGAGCAGUCAAAGAAAGAGUGCACCUUUCUGUCGGCUCUCAUUAAGAAAUUUCUUGGGGUCCUGGCAUCGAUUCCAGCUUCAGACACUGGAUCCAUGGACAAAGUCCAUUACUGUGAGAGGUUCAUUGAGCUCAUGAUUGACCUGGAGGCCCUGCUGCCCACUAGACGUUGGUUCAACACAGUGUUGGACGACUCUCAUUUAAUGGUCAGAUGCAACCUGUCCAGCCUUACCAAAAAAGAGAAGGAAGGACAUCUUUUUUGCCAGUUGCUGGACAUGCUGAAGUUUUACACUGGCUUUGAGAUCAAUGACCAAACAGGAAACGCCCUCACACAAAACGAGAUGACGAAACUGCACUACGACAAAAUCACCUCCCUACAGAGAGCAGCCUUUUCUCAUUUCCCAGAGUUGCACGACUUUGCUCUGUCAAAUGUAGCUUCAGUCGACACCAGAGAAUCCUUGACGAAACACUUUGGGAAUCUGAGUCCCAACAUGCUCCACCAGGUGGCCUCAUACCUAUGUCUGCUGCCAGAGCUGCCUGAAGGGCAAGACACCAACUUCGAGAGAGAGGUUCUCCUGGAGCUCCUGGUGUCUCGUCAUGAGCGAAGAAUCUCUCAGAUUGAGCAACUCAACCAGAUGCCCCUUUAUCCAACCGAGAAGAUAAUCUGGGAUGAGAAUAUUGUCCCAACAGAGUACUACUCAGGAGAAGGCUGUCUGGCUCUUCCUAAACUGAAUCUUCAGUUCCUGACCCUCCAUGAUUACUUGUUGAGGAACUUUAACCUCUUUCGUCUAGAGUCCACCUAUGAGAUCAGACAGGACAUAGAAGAUGUGGUGUGGCGUAUGAAACCCUGGCAGUCAGAGUAUGGUGGAGUCGUGUUUGGGGGCUGGGCCAGGAUGGCUCAGCCAAUCACCACCUUCUCUAUUGUGGAAGUUGCCAAGCCAAAUAUUGGAGAGAGCUGGCCUGCUCGAGUCCGAGCCGACAUCACCAUCAACCUCAACAUACAAGAUCAUAUCAAGCAUGAGUGGGAAGGUUUGCGGAAGCACGAUGUUUGCUUUCUGAUCACAGUGCGACCCAUCCUCCUGUACGGCACACGCUUCGACCGUCGCCAGUCUUUUGUGGAGCAGACAGGUCUGGCCUAUGUGAGAGGCUGCGAGGUCCAGGGCAUGCUCGAUGACAAGGGGCGAGUCAUUGAGGAAGGACCUGAACCAAAGCCCAAGCUGCGAGGAGACACCAGAACAUUCCGUGUCUGGCUGGACCCCAACCAGUAUCAGCAGGACAUGACCAGCAGUAUCCAGAAUGGCACAGAAGACCCAUAUGAGACUUUUAACAUCAUCAUGAGGCGAAAACCCAAAGAGAACAAUUUCAAGGCUGUGCUAGAAACCAUUAGACACCUGAUGAACACAGAGUGCGUUGUUCCCGACUGGCUACACAACAUUAUCCUUGGCUACGGUGAUCCAGGCAGUGCCCACUACUCCAAAAUGCCCAAUCAGAUUUCUGAACUGGACUUCAACGACACCUUUCUCUCCUUGGAUCAUUUACGCUCCAGUUUCCCUGGCUAUACCAUAGAAGUCCAGGAGGAGAAUCCUGACCUUCAUGUCCCUCCUUUUAGAAUCAAGUUUCCUAUCACAGAAAAAAAAGAAAAGGGGAAAAAGAGGAAAGCAAAUGAAGAAUCAGAACCCAAACAGGAGGACAAAACUUUGGUCAUCGAGCCUUAUGUUACGCCCAACCGUGGACCAUAUCCCUACAACCAGCCCAAACGAAAUACCAUUCAGUUCACCCCGACUCAGAUUGAAGCCAUUCGAGCUGGGAUGCAGCCAGGACUCACCAUGGUUGUAGGACCACCAGGUACUGGAAAGACGGACGUUGCUGUUCAGAUCAUCUCAAACAUCUAUCACAACUUCCCAGAGCAGAGGACCCUCAUCGUCACGCAUUCAAAUCAGGCUCUGAACCAGCUAUUCGAAAAGAUCAUGGCUCUGGACAUCGAUGAACGCCACCUCCUACGUCUUGGCCACGGUGAAGAGGAGCUGGAGACGGAGAAAGACUUUAGCAGAUAUGGAAGAGUAAACUACGUUCUGGCCAGAAGGCUGGAGCUCCUCAGGGAGGUGGGGAGGUUGCAGGAGAGCCUGGAUGUGCCUGGAGAUGUCUCUUACACCUGUGAAACUGCUGGACACUUCUAUCUCUACCAGGUGAUCUCUCGAUGGGAGCAGUUCAUGAGCAAAGUCAGGCCUAAACAGGGCAAGACAGUGGAGGUCAAUGUCGUGGCUGAGUCUUUCCCCUUCCACAAGUACUUCUCCAACGCCCCGCAGCCCGUGUUCAAGGGACGGACAUACGAGGAGGACAUGGACAUAGCAGAGGGCUGCUACCGCCACAUCAAGAAAAUAUUCACCCAGCUGGAAGAAUUUAGAGCCUUCGAGCUGCUGAGAAGUGGACUGGAUCGUUCCAAGUAUCUGCUUGUGAAAGAAGCCAAAAUCAUCGCCAUGACCUGUACACAUGCUGCACUUAAGCGCCAUGACUUGGUGGAGCUGGGUUUCAAGUAUGACAACAUCCUGAUGGAAGAAUCGGCACAGAUCCUGGAGAUUGAGACCUUCAUCCCUCUGCUACUACAGAACCCAGAGGAUGGUUUCAGUAGAUUGAAGCGUUGGAUCAUGAUAGGAGACCACCACCAGUUGCCCCCUGUCAUCAAAAACAUGGCCUUCCAAAAAUAUUCCAACAUGGAACAGUCUCUCUUCACCAGAUUUGUCCGCCUCGGCGUGCCGACCAUUGAUCUGGACGCACAAGGCCGUGCACGUGCGAGUUUGUGUAACUUGUACAACUGGCGCUACAAACACCUUGGGAACCUGCCACAUGUUCAGCAGCUGCCUGAGUUCCAGGUUCCCAACCCUGGACUCACCUUUGAUUUCCAGUUAAUUAACGUGGAGGACUUCAACGGGGUGGGAGAAACCGAGCCCAAUCCUUACUUCUACCAGAAUCUGGCUGAGGCGGAGUACUGCGUGGCCCUCUUUAUGUACAUGCGUCUCCUGGGCUACCCCUCUGACCGCAUCAGUAUUCUUACCACCUACAAUGGACAGAAACACCUCAUCAGAGACGUCAUUAACCAACGCUGUGCUGGAAAUCCAUUCUUUGGGCAACCUAACAAGGUGACGACAGUUGACAGGUUCCAGGGUCAGCAGAAUGACUACAUCAUCCUCUCGCUGGUCCGCACCAAAGCCGUGGGACACCUCAGGGAUGUGAGGCGUCUGGUUGUGGCCAUGUCCAGAGCCAGGCUGGGUCUCUACAUCUUUGCCCGAGUGGCACUUUUCCAGAACUGCUUCGAGUUGACCCCUGCCUUCAAUCAGCUCACCUCUAGACCUCUGCAACUGCACAUCAGGACCAACGAGUACUACGGCCAGGAGCAGCCUAGAGAUGCUUCGGGACAACCUGACCAAGUUGUCAAGAACAUGCCAGAGAUGGCCAACCUGGUGUAUAAUACAUACAUGCACAUGAUCCAAACAUCACAGAAGUACAGACAGCAGCAACAGCAGUCGAUGGCUCCGCCUCCACAACAAAUAAAGACAGAACCCGCUGCAGAGAAGGGGGCAGCAGCCAACUCCGUGGAGCAGCAGGAAGAAACCCCCAUGGAGCAGGACACGGAAGAAGUGAAGGCGAGUUUGGAGCCAAGGUCUGAGGACACCAGCGUAAAGACGGAAAAUCAGGAUCCAGAAGACCACACUAAGAUGCCCCAACAUCCGGGAAGAGACAGUGACAGUGAUGGAGAGGAGAGUGGGGAGGAGGAGGAGGGGCCGCAGCAGAAGCAGUAGAGACCACUGCAGCAUGAACCCAUUUAUGUUCUUGUCCAUCGUCUGCUGCUGCACCACCUGCUCCCCCUGUGGAUGUGCAUAAACCCUGAACUGGAGUACCAUGGUAAUCUGAUGUGUUGAGGACGACUGUACAUCCCUCUCUUUGGAGUGGUGUGAGUGCAUGGACCCUACCAGUAGGAAUUUCACAAGUCAUAUUGGGUAGAUGGUGAAAAAUUUUCAUGAAAAUUUUUGGAAAUAAAAAAAUCAAAAUGUUAUCUUUUCUACAUGUUUCUCAUCAAAUUAGAGCAUUUUCAAAAACAAUUUAGAAAAAAAAAUUUUGAUUUUCUGGUAAGAUCCUGACUGCAUGUCAUGUAGUCAAAUGGUGAACAAUUUUAAUGAAAACUUUUGUCAAAGGCAUUUUUCUUAUCAAAUUGGAGCAUUUUGAAAAAGAAUUUAGGACUUCUUUUUUACUUUUUUGGUAAAAUCCUAAUUUCGUGUGCCGUGGUCAGGUAAGGAAAAUUAUAAUGAAAAUUGGUUAAAAAUAUUUUUUUCUCUUUUUUGUUUCCCAUCAAAUUAGAGCAUUUAGAGAAACAUUUUUAGAAAUUUUCAUUUCGUUUUUGUCAUAAUCUUAACUUUUUGUAUCUAUUUUGGGUCAAAUGCUAAUAAUUUGACGAAGAUUUUUGGAAAAUUGUUUUUCAAAGUUGUAUCUUUUCUUGCAUGUUUCUCAGCAAAUUAGGGCAUUUAGAGAGGACUUUCUGAACAUUUUUUCAUACAUUUGUUUGUCAAAAUCUGAACGUUUUGUCUCAUAUUUUUGGAAAAAGUCUAAAAAAAUGAUGAAUAACCUUAUAAAAUUAUUUUUCAAAAUUGUAUCUUUUGCUGGAUGUUCCUCAUCAAAUUAGGGCAUUUAUAUAAUAAGUUUUGAAAAUCUUUGUCUAGAAUUUUUUGUCAAAAUCUGAAGUUUUCAUGAAAUUUUUUGGAGUCAAAUACUAUUAAAUUUGGAUGAAAAACCUUGUAAAAUUAUUUUUCAAAAUUGUAUCUUUUCCUGCAUGGUUCUCAUAAAAUUAGGGCAUUUAGAGAAGCAUUUUUUUC